UACGUAGGGGCCUAGCGUUGUCCGGAUUUAUUGGGCGUAAAGAGCUCGUAGGCGGUUCGGUAAGUCAGGUGUGAAAUCUCCACGCUCAACGUGGGAGCGCCACCUGAAACUGCCGUGACUCGAGUCCGGUAGGGGAGUGUGGAAUUCCCGGUGUAGCGGUGAAAUGCGCAGAUAUCGGGAGGAACACCAGUGGCGAAGGCGGCACUCUGGGCCGGUACUGACGCUGAGGAGCGAAAGCGUGGGGAGCGAACAGG
rnacentral:rRNA from 1 species